GGUGCUCACCUCAACCAGCAUGGUGUCCUGUACCCUCAUAAGAAGGUGCCAUGUGGUUUUGAAAGAUACCUUUGGAACUUUUUCAUUGCCAAAGAACCUAGACAGUUAUUGGCCAAACAUCUGUUGUAACUGGACUAUCUGGGCAGGGUCCAAGAAACACAUUGUUGUUUACAUCAAAGGAUUUGAGGGGCCUGAGAACUGUGACCAAAACCAGGACAAAAUCAUUUUUCAAGGGGUCUCAUCAAGUGUGGAAAGGAAAACCUUCUAUGCAUGUAGAAGGCAAGGCACUUUGAUUUUUGCUACUCAAGCCCUGGCUGUCCAUAUAGUGUUUCUCUCUGUGAAGUCUUAUCCUAGACACAUCCCACAUUUUGAAGGCCAGUAUUUUAUCUUCACAGACCCGGAGAGACAAGUCCCUCCUAAACCUGCCAUUGGUUCUUCCUUAGCAACUUCCCAGAGACUCAGAGAGAGGACUCUAAGUAGUGUGGGUUCUCAUCCUCAGCUAGUGACAAAACCAAAGCCUGGGAGCUUUCCAAACAUGAACACCAUCUACAUGAGUCUGGGGAGCAAAAGCCAAAUUGUGACUGAGAUACUGAUGCCAAAGAAUGAGGGGCUAAUGGAGGGAGAAAGAAAGGUUCUUGAAUGGAAGCAUCUGCAUAGCCUUCUUCCUCUGAUUCCUGCCAAAGGGCCAUUGAUAAGGAACAGACACUUGACACCUAUUUUGCUUAGGCAGGAGCUCAGCAGGCCAACAGAGACUAUAAAAAGUUCAGCUGGAAGGGACUCUGUGGUAUCAUUUAGGAUGUCAUCAAUCCCAGUUACUUCCUGUGGGUACAUACCAGAAAAUAAAGCUUCCCAAGAUAGCUUGCCUGUGGACUCAUUGAUUAUUCACCCUCGUUGGCUUUCUAAGACUUUCCCCUUGACAGAGCUACUUCCGAAACCUAUAGGCGUUUCUGACAGGCUUCUUCCCUCUGCCAGUAUUCCAGAAAAGAGGCUUCCUUGGAUCACAGCUAAAAAACAAAAGCUCACAUGGCAAGGGGACCUUGUUAUUACUAAACCUUCCCACUUUUAUUCAUCCUUGACUGCUCAGAGUAUAAGGAAAUUCCAGGAUGCUGUGCGUAAUCAUGAUCAUCUCUACCAGAGUUUCAGCCAUGUGAUGCUGGUUAAAGGAAAGAAUUUUCUAGAAACAAGUCCUGGAGUUUAUGAGUCUGUCACCAGUCCUUCAAAUAUCCCUAAAGAAGAACUAUUCUUAAAUCUCCUGUUCAAUAAUGAACAGGUAGCACCAGAAUGCAAAGAGAGAGGUGGAGAAACCUUCCCAACAAGGGAUGAGGCAAGCAGGGGAGUCAGCUUGGAUCCAGCUCAGUCCAGCACUUUGGGAAAUAUCAGACCUCUCAAUGAGGAGCAUCUAGAUCUGGGAAGCCCUAGAGAAGUGACAACCUCCAAUGGAUUUGUGUGGGAUUCUUUAUCUCCUGGCAGCCUGACUGAGCUCUCCCCUUCCUUGAAGACCCCUGGUACUGCCCAGAGCUUCCUCAGAGAAGUCACAGAUGAUGUCCAUCCGAGCACUGGUGCUGCCCAUUCGAGUGAGCCAAUGCUUAACCUCAAAACCAAGGAUGAUUGGAAGUCCAAGGCCAUGGUAUCUUUGAUCCCUGGUCAAGUGUGGAAGAACAUGACUGCUGAUGGAGUCUUGGUUUUAACCCCAGGAUAUUCUGAUGCAGAAACAACCUCCCCAUCUUUUGGAAAUGAGUCUGUCUUAGAGUUCCAACAUUAUCCAGGAGAUAUCCUAUAUGAAGUAAUUGUCGAAAUGGAAUGCCCGGUAGAGACCCCUUACAAUACCUCUGAAGUGGAGAAAGUCUUGGCAGACUCACUUAAGCAAGAGAUUGGGGAAAAUCUAGACCACUUUUCACCUGAAGCAGAUGAAUUCAAACUAACUAGAAUUAAAAGAAAAGAUACCUUAAAUGUCAUGUUCAUUUUCUGGCUGCAUCUGAGAUCUAGAGGGCGAAAUAUGUCAGCCACUCUGAUGUCCCAAUUAGGAGCAUCUGAGAGCAGUGCACUGCAUCUUCAAUUAAGAACUCUCAUCAGAGACACAGUAGAAGCUCUCCAACUUCAUCUGAAAUUUAUCUCCAUUCACGAUGUGAAUGAAUGUGAAAUGGGCCUAGAACAAUGUGGUGAAGGGGCUGAAUGCUUCAAUGGAGCUGGUACUUACAUAUGUCGUUGCAAAGAAGACUAUGAAGAUCGUUCCCCCCGUGCAGAUUGGUACUCUGUGUGUCCAUGUCCCACGCUCAGGAGUUGGAUUUUCUUUCAAUUAUCUGGAUCUUCUCAUCACUGUUACUGUCUUUACCACCGUCCUCCUCGUGCUGAUAAUAGGUUUUGUGUGGCUGGCAACCAGAACAACCUAAGAAAAGAGGGAUUUUUGCCUUCAGGAGACAAUGUCCCUGGAGGGUUUGUCUACAUUACCACUGAUCCAAACCAAACCUCACCUCGAGGAAGUUCAACAAAUGCUCCCUCUAUAAUCCCUAUCAGCCUAAGUCCCCAGCCAGAAUCAUAGAUGGCUCCCUGUAACAAAUAUCUUACAAAGACUACCAUGUGUGUAUGGAACAGUCUGAAUAUCUCAAAUAAUGAUUUAAGGAAUAUUUAUCUGUUGUCGCUCUGAUCUCCUGUUGAGUCAGAUGCAGGAGAAGGUGAUUUUUCUGUCAAUUUUUCUCUGGGACAACAAAAAGACACUGCACAUUUUAGGGUGGAUGGGGGUGGGUGUAUCCUUCCAGUAACUUAAAAGGAGAGAAUUUCUGAUUGUAAUCCAUUUGUCUUUCUUGUUCCUUCCUACCUGAAUUAUACUUCUUGGCUCUAGAUUCUAGCCUCUAUAGGUGGAGGAAUUUACAUUUGUAUCUUAGCAUCAAGACUUUUACACUAAUUCCUGUAAUGAGCAGAAGCACAAAGCUAAUGACCUGGACAUUUUUGUGCCAUCUGACUGAAGUCUGCAGGAAGCACCCAGGGAUCCAGGAAAUGGAGGGGACACAUACCUAUUUCCAAAGCUGAUGAAUGAGUCCUGUGACUUUUAAGGAUACCCAAGUUAAAGUGCUGUUAAUUUAGCACAGUUUGGAAACUCCCAUUUGACCAUAGUGUAUUUUUAUAUGAAGAAUUAAAUCCUAACCCACCCUCCCCCCGGCCCUGGGUCUGGGGAACUAGAAGACUUGGUAUUCAAAAAUAAUUCUCUCCUUGUACCUACCAUCUUUUUUGUGAAGUUACAAAUAUGUGUAUUAUAUUUGUAGAAAUUGUUUUAAAUUCCCUCUCAAGAGCACAUAGCUAAGCACUGUACUGUUAAUUGUUUUUGUUUGUUUUUUAUCAAUACUAUGGCUACCCGUUCAGAGAAGUUGCUUUGUCUGAUAUGGUGGUUUACUUGUAAGCUGAUC
rnacentral:lncRNA from 1 species